AUUUAUCUAAUAUAAUAAGUAUAUUUAACUUCCAAUUAAAUAGUUUGCUAAGCAAGAUAAAUA
rnacentral:tRNA from 2 species